rnacentral:rRNA from 1 species
UACAAUGGCAGGUACAGAGGGGUGCUACCGGGUGACCGGAUGCCGAUCUCGAAAACCUGUCCCAGUUCGGACUGGAGUCUGCAACCCGACUCCACGAAGUUGGAUUCGCUAGUAAUCGCGCAUCAGCCAUGGCGCGGUGAAUACGUUCCCGGGCCUUGUACACACCGCCCGUCAAGCCAUGGGAGCCGGGGGCGCCUGAAGUCCGGGACCGCGAGGACCGGCCUAGGGCGAAACUGGUGACUGGGGCUAAGUCGUAACAAGGUAGC